GUCCUCGCUCCUCAAGGGAAGACCAAAAUCGUGAAAAUCCCCAGCGGUCCACCUCGCCCAACAAAGAUGCGAGGACCCAGAGAGACCACGGCACCGAAGGAAUAGUAGUGGGGAUGAUGGAGUUCAAGUUUUUUGGACAACACUUUUCUCUGGCUUUGUUAACUAUCAAGUGGUUCUAAAAGCAUGUGAUGCAGGAAGGACCGGUAUUGGAAGCCUUUUUUCACUUGGUAAUUACUCUAGCAAAACAGACAGGAUUUGCAUGAAUGUCCUGGAGGAGGAGGACGUGGAAAAGUUGAAAUAGCUGUCUCUGGUGUUUCUUUUACAUGUCAAAGAAUGAGACGAGGGUUUUUACUUGAGUAUUAUGAUAUCAUUAAAUCCUUUUUUGUAUUUUCUAUUGUUGUCCAUCGCUACUAUGGUCCACCUCUGACGGGAAAUCUCCAUGAUUCAGCUGUAAAACCUUUUGGCUAAGAACUGCAUGGUUGUCUGUUGAGCUAGAAAUAAUGGGUACAUGUGUAAAUAAAGGAGCCAUUCAGCUUUUUCCAGAA